UACGGAGGGAGCUAGCGUUGUUCGGAAUUACUGGGCGUAAAGCGCACGUAGGCGGCUUUGUAAGUUAGAGGUGAAAGCCCGGGGCUCAACCCCGGAAUUGCCUUUAAGACUGCAUCGCUUGAAUCCGGGAGAGGUGAGUGGAAGUUCCGAGUGUAGAGGUGAAAUUCGUAGAUAUUCGGAAGAACACCAGUGGCGAAGGCGGCUCACUGGACGGUAUUGACGCUGAGGUGCGAAAGCGUGGGGAGCAAACAGG
rnacentral:rRNA from 1 species